CCUACGGGUGGCAGCAGUAGGGAAUAUUGCUCAAUGGGGGAAACCCUGAAGCAGCAACGCCGCGUGGAGGAUGAAGGUCUUCGGAUUGUAAACUCCUUUUGUUAGAGAAGAUAAUGACGGUAUCUAUAGAAUAAGCACUGGAUAAUUCCGUGACAGCAGCCGCGGUAAUACGGAGGGUGCAAGCGUUACUCGGAAUCACGGGGCGUAAAGAGCGCGUAGGCGGGUUAGCAAGUCAGAUGUGAAAUCCUAUGGCUUAACCAUAGAACUGCAUUUGAAACUGGUAUUCUAGAGUAUGGGAGAGGUAGGUGGAAUUCUUGGUGUAGCGGUAAAAUCCGUAGAGAUCAAGAGGAAUACUCAUUGCGAAGGCGACCUGCUAGAACAUAACUGACGCUGAUGCGCGAAAGCGUGGGGAGCAAACAGGAUUAGAUACCCGGGUAGUC
rnacentral:rRNA from 1 species